GCUUCCUUUGACACAACUUGGGUUGAGUAUCGUUUGAAUUUGAACGAUUCCGAUUCCAAUUCCGAUUUCUUAUUUCGAUUCCGGUUCCUAACGAUUCUCGAUUCCGAUUUUUUUAAGAGGCAGGGUCAAAAAAAGUUUAGGAUAUUUUAAAUGAGCUAGCUAAUUAACGGUCUUUCUCAGGGUAUCUGCACAUUUUCCAAGUGCAAAUUUAAAGACUUUUAAGACCUUUUCAAGACAUCUAA